rnacentral:rRNA from 1 species
GUGUCAGCCGCCGCGGUAAUACGGAGGAUGCAAGCGUUAUCCGGAUUUAUUGGGUUUAAAGGGUGCGUAGGCGGAUUAAUAAGUCAGUGGUGAAAACCUGCAGCUUAACUGUAGAACUGCCAUUGAUACUGUUAGUCUUGAGUAUGGUCAAGGUAGGCGGAAUGUGUAAUGUAGCGGUGAAAUGCUUAGAUAUUACACAGAACACCGAUUGCGAAGGCAGCUUACUGGACCAUUACUGACGCUGAGGCACGAAAGCGUGGGGAGCGAACAGGAUUAGAAACCCCCGUAGUCC